GUGAGGAAUAUUGGUCAAUGGGCGAGAGCCUGAACCAGCCAAGUCGCGUGAAGGAAGACGGCCCUACGGGUUGUAAACUUCUUUUGCAAUGGAAUAAAAAGAGUUACGUGUAAUUCAUUGUAUGUACAUUGCGAAUAAGGAUCGGCUAACUCCGUGCCAGCAGCCGCGGUAAUACGGAGGAUCCGAGCGUUAUCCGGAUUUAUUGGGUUUAAAGGGUGCGUAGGCGGAUUGGAAAGUCAGCGGUGAAAGUUUGCAGCUUAACUGUAAAAUUGCCAUUGAAACUGUCAGUCUUGAGUGCAAAUGAGGUAGGCGGAAUGUGUUGUGUAGCGGUGAAAUGCAUAGAUAUAACACAGAACACCAAUUGCGAAGGCAGCUUACUGGGAUGCAACUGACGCUGAGGCACGAAAGCGUGGGGAUCAAACAGGAUUAGAAACCCGAGUAGUCC
rnacentral:rRNA from 1 species